CUGUGCAUCAUGCAUACCUUACUGACUGAGGUUCAGAUCGAGACGUGUUUUGUUUUUGAACACACACUGCUUGAGUUUGGGCUUGACUGGAAGCAGAAAACCGAUUCUGGGGCAGCACUUUAAAUGUAAUGUCACUCCUGUCCUUGAGUCGAGCUAGAUGGCCUUGUGUUUAAGAGCUAAAGGAAGACGGUUUAGAGCACCAGGAAGUGAAAUCUAAUGACAUCCUGUGGGGUCAUAGGAAGAGUGGGGAAAGCAACUUUCAUCCAGAGAGGAAGUACCACAUAAAAAUAGCUUGUUCUGGUCAUUGAACUAUCAGCUGCAGCACUCUGGAAUGCAUGCUUCUCUAGUGUCCACUUUCCAACUACCUUCAUCAGCAGCUGUUACCAAAGCAGACUUCAUACUGGUAUUCUGGUGUCCCCAGCCCAGCAAGAUGUCUCUCUGCCUCUGCCAUCUCUGCUUCAGGAGGACAACAGCAACACAUUCAGCCCUAUAUUCUGAAAACUCCUGUGAUUUCUGUUUUACAUUGUGUAAUCGCUUACUGCUUGGACCUGACCCAGCAGCAACAGACAGACAGGAGCAGACGGACAAUGUGCAGAUGUUGUCACUGAUUUACACACGACAGCUGAACAGAGGACAGCAGAUGAAAGGAGAGGCCCUCUGGAUCACAGGGACACAGCAGUAGCAGUCUCCACCAGCUGUGCAGAUCUGUGGAGGGACAUAGGGGAAAAGGACAUAACAAUGUAUGGAUCAUGGCUAUAUCACUCCCUGCACAUUUCCCCACAGGCAGCUCAGGGAUUCGAACCGGCAACCCUCCCGAUACCAGCCUACCGCUCUAACCUUGAGGCUACUGCUGUGCCCCAAGUACUCUAACAUGGGCUGGGUUCUUCCAUUCCUCCUCAGUCUUUCUCUGGGCAGUAAGCUACUUACACGGAGUUUGUCGCCCUGCUGGACAAGAGACUCUUGUAAUAAAGCAGAUCAAUCUGACUGGAAUAAAACCAUGUGACCAAUAAAUGUUUCAUAGCCUCGAUCGGUCUAUUGUCUUGUUUCCCACCCUCUGUUAAAAGCUUU
rnacentral:lncRNA from 1 species